rnacentral:tRNA from 1 species
GGCGCGGUAGCCAAGUGGCAAGGCGAAGGUCUGCAAAACCUUUAGCGGCGGUGCGAUUCCGCCCCGCGCCUCCA